rnacentral:tRNA from 1 species
GAGGAUAUAGCUCAGUGGUAAGAGUACAUGCCUAACAUGUACAAAGUCCUGGGUUCAAUCCCCAGUACCUCCA